UGGUGGAGUGAUUUGUCUGGUUAAUUCCGUUAACGAACGAGACCUCGACCUGCUAAAUAGUGGGCAGAAUCCUCCGGGAUUCUCGUUAACUUCUUAGAGGGACUAUCGGUGUGUAGCCGGUGGAAGUUCGAGGCAAUAACA
rnacentral:rRNA from 1 species